rnacentral:tRNA from 1 species
UGAGCGGUAGUUCAGUCGGUUGCUCUCUGUUAAAAAUCAGCCGGCCUGUCACGCCAGCGCCAAAAUGUUCACGGGUUCGAGUCCCGUCCGCUCCGCCA